UGGGGGAUAACGCAGCGAAAGUUGCGCUAAUACCGCAUACGAUCUAAGGAUGAAAGCGGGGGAUUCGCAAGAACCUCGUGCUCCUGGAGCGGCCGAUAUCUGAUUAGCUAGUUGGUGGGGUAAAGGCCUACCAAGGCAUCGAUCAGUAGCUGGUCUGAGAGGACGACCAGCCACACUGGAACUGAGACACGGUCCAGACUCCUACGGGAGGCAGCAGUGGGGAAUUUUGGACAAUGGGCGAAAGCCUGAUCCAGCAAUGCCGCGUGAGUGAAGAAGGCCUUCGGGUUGUAAAGCUCUUUUGUCAGGGAAGAAACGGUGUGGGCUAAUAUCCCGCACUAAUGACGGUACCUGAAGAAUAAGCACCGGCUAACUACGUGCCAGCAGCCGCGGUAAUACGUAGGGUGCAAGCGUUAAUCGGAAUUACUGGGCGUAAAGCGUGCGCAGGCGGUUUUGUAAGUUUGUCGUGAAAGCCCCGGGCUCAACCUGGGAAUUGCGAUGAAGACUGCAAGGCUUGAAUCUGGCAGAGGGGGGUAGAAUUCCACGUGUAGCAGUGAAAUGCGUAGAGAUGUGGAGGAACACCGAUGGCGAAGGCAGCCCCCUGGGUCAAGAUUGACGCUCAUGCACGAAAGCGUGGGGAGCAAACAGGAUUAGAUACCCUGGUAGUCCACGCCCUAAACGAUGUCUACUAGUUGUCGGGUUUUAAUUAACUUGGUAACGCAGCUAACGCGUGAAGUAGACCGCCUGGGGAGUACGGUCGCAAGAUUAAAACUCAAAGGAAUUGACGGGGACCCGCACAAGCGGUGGAUGAUGUGGAUUAAUUCGAUGC
rnacentral:rRNA from 1 species